rnacentral:lncRNA from 1 species
ACAGUGAUAUUUUGUUACCUACCAAUUUGGAUUCUAAAUCAUUUUUUUUUUUUUAAUAUCAUCUUCAGCUCGUAACCAGCCCAGGUGAUUAUCUUUCCAAAUUCCUUUUUCAAUUCAAAGAUCUUAACAAUGCAUGCAUGCAAAUUCCUUUUCUGCUUCAAAUUUGAUGGGUUUUAGUUAAAGUUUUUUUUUUUUUUUUUUUUUUUUUUUC